UCUCCGAACCCAGCUUAGCUUCCUAUUGAUUUUGGAUUGAUUUUGGAGCUGCUUUUGGGACCAAACGUGCUUUUACAAUUUAGUUGGGCUGUUUGGUAAAACCUGUAGAAUCAGCUUCCAUCCGGAAGCGAUUCCUUGAACCGCAGAAAUCAGGAAGCUCAAUUUCUUAGCUUUGGAAAUCUGCUUCUGCGGGAAUCAAGUUGAAGACGCGGAAGUGUUAAUGAAAUUUCUGAUAUUGGCGAAAUUGUCCUUCUGGUUUUCUUGUUUCUUCUUUCACGUCCACAUCCUCCGCUCUCUGACUGGCGAUCGUCAAAGCAGACAUGUACCUGAUUCAUAGCACCAGAGGAACUUGACUCGAGUUCCAUUGUUUCUGUUGCUCCAACUUUUUGCAGGCUCUUGGCCGGAGAAGGUUAGAAAUGUCACUGAGACGUCGUGACGUUGAGCAGUGGAUGAGCCAUAGACGUUUGCCAGAUGAGCUAGGGAGAUAGGUGAGUUUUUUUUUCCAUGACUUUGGACAUCUUCGGGCAAUUCCAUGGGUGUUUGGACAUCUUCGGGCAAUUCCAUGGGUGUUUGCAUGGACUCAAACCAGAUUUGUCUUCCAGCUUGGCUUGGAGUUAAACCCCUUGUUGAUCUUUUUGUGAGAGCAUCAAACACACCAGCCAUAAAGAUGUAUGAGAAGAGUCCCAUAUUGAAUCUGUCAUUCUUGCCGCUAUGCAGACGUACUUCCUAGUUCCAAUCUCUGCCUCAUGUUUUACGUUCUCUUUUUACCAAGCUUUGUGGUUGUGACUAGGGAAAUGUUUUGUUGGCAGGCCAUCCCUUGGAUGAGAAAUUAUAAUGGUGUAUGGGUGCUAUAUUUUUACAUUUAGACUCAUGAAGAUCUAUCAGUGAUUGUCAUCCUUUCCAAAGGUUUCUUUUAGGGUAUGUUUCUGUGGAAUCUGACAAAAGAAGAGAAUUGUUUUCAACACUCUCAAGUUCAACAAUGUGAUGCUUAGAAGCACAAAAUUGGUUCAUAGUUCAAGUGGUGACUUAGAAUGAUUUAUUGGGAAAUUCUUUACAUUCCUAGAAAGACUUUUAUUUCGAGCAGUAAAACAUUUCAAAAUUGUCAUGAUGUAAUUUGGUCGGAAUUUGCUUUCUCAAAAUUCGCUUUUGGAUUGGAGCAGUUUAUCAUA